GAUGAACGCUCGCUACAGGCUUAACACAUGCAAGUCGAGGGGAAACGCCAUCGAAAGCUUGCUUUUGAUGGGCGUCGACCGGCGCACGGGUGAGUAACGCGUAUCCAACCUGCCCAUCACUUGGGAAUAACCUUGCGAAAGUAAGACUAAUACCCAAUGAUAUCCCACGAAGGCAUCGGAAUGGGAUUAAAGAUUUAUCGGUGAUGGAUGGGGAUGCGUCUGAUUAGCUUGUUGGCGGGGUAACGGCCCACCAAGGCAACGAUCAGUAGGGGUUCUGAGAGGAAGGUCCCCCACAUUGGAACUGAGACACGGUCCAAACUCCUACGGGAGGCAGCAGUGAGGAAUAUUGGUCAAUGGGCGAGAGCCUGAACCAGCCAAGGAGCGUGCAGGAAGACGGCCCUAUGGGUUGUAAACUGCUUUUAUAAGGGAAUAAAGUGGGUCACGUGUGACUUUUGGCAUGGACCUUAGGAAUAAGGACCGGCGAAUUCCGG
rnacentral:rRNA from 1 species